rfam:Dichomitus squalens LYAD-421 SS1 unplaced genomic scaffold DICSQscaffold_64, whole genome shotgun sequence.
ACGCCGAUGGUGAAGUGGUUAUCAUGCUUGCCUUCCAUUUCAUGUGUAGCAAGCGGCACGGGUUCGAUUCCCGUUCGGCGUA